AACGAACGCUGGCGGCAGGCUUAACACAUGCAAGUCGAACGCCCCGCAAGGGGAGUGGCAGACGGGUGAGUAACGCGUGGAAAUCUACCCAUCUCUACGGAACAACUCCGGGAAACUGGAGCUAAUACCGUAUACGCCCUUAGGGGGAAAGAUUUAUCGGGGAUGGAUGAGCCCGCGUUGGAUUAGCUAGUUGGUGGGGUAAAGGCCUACCAAGGCGACGAUCCAUAGCUGGUCUGAGAGGAUGAUCAGCCACAUUGGUACUGAGACACGGGCCAAACUCCUACGGGAGGCAGCAGUGGGGAAUAUUGGGCAAUAGGGGAAAGCCUGAUCCAGCCAUGCCGCGUGAGUGAUGAAGGCCUUAGGGGUGGAAAGCUCUUUCACCGAUGAAGAUAAUGACGGUAGUCGGAGAAGAAGCCCCGGCUAACUUCGUGCCAGCAGCCGCCGUAACAC
rnacentral:rRNA from 1 species